CUUCCCUUCUAGCACAAUUUUAACCACGAAUACAAGCUCUACCAUUUUCGGUUACCGUUCAUCAUCUCCUACCUCCAGCUUUCUUCGAUUUUUCUGCAUUUUCUGUUUUGUCUACAAUUGCUUGGGUUCCAACAUAACUAUCUUUUACUUUUAGAAAUUUACCCAGAAUCCAAUAUUAUUGUUUUUUGUGUUGGAGGAAGGACUCAAAUAUCGUUAUUCAAGGGGCAGGUUGAAGAGGAGAAGGGUGGAUUCAAGGCUAGUGACCGUAUCCAUAGGCUUGUUGGCAGGCUAUAAUUAUGGCAUUAAUCUCAUCGUUGAUAUCAAUUAUGUGAUCUUAUUUUAUUGCAAACUGACUCCUCCUUCAAAACAAAUGCUUCUGAUGUAUACGUUGUUGAGUCAAACAUGUUGAUCAUGCUCGCAAAUCAGAGCAGGCAGUGAAGGUAAGUUGGAACCCAAUAUGUCAGCUUCACCAAUUAUUGCACAAGUACACGUAUUACUCGCAUGCUUUGCUCAAUUAAGAAAUCAUUAAUAUCAUAAUCACCAAAUUUUAAUAUAAAGAAAAAAUGUGUGGACUAAUAGUGUAAGAGUUUUUUACCGUAUCACUGUAUUAUUCAUCAUUCAUUUUCAAUCAUCAUUGACUCUUAAAUAAAGUAAAAGUAAUACAAAUGAAUUAUGAAUGAUAUAUUGACUGUGUAUAAAUUUUUACACUGUCAAUACAUAAAUAUUACACUCUUAAAUAUAUAUAUACAAUCAGAUAAUUUACAUAUUAAUAUGUGACUUCAUAUUUUGAAAUCAUUUAAUAAUUAACUUGUUUUUAAUGUUAUUGAACAUUUCUCCCACAAUAUAAGUCAUUAGACAAUUACUAUUCAUGCAUCAUUCAUUCGAUUAUACAAUCUAUUUUUCAUAAUCUGCAAGUUGAAAAACUUUUUCUAUAGUUAUUAUUAGGGAUGGUAAUGAAAACCGAAUUCGUGGGUACCCGUCCGAUCACAACCUGAAUUUAACGGGUUAAACAUGUUGUUACUGGGUUCAGGUUCGGGUUUUACCCUGUAUUAAAUUUCGGGUUCGAGUUUAGUAUAUGUGAUACCCUAACCCGAACUCACCCCAAUUGAAAAAUUAAAUAAACUAAUAUAUUUCCUAAAUCCUAACCUAGUUUUGUUACACUAAACUUGAGUGGGGCACAAUUAGAAAGAAAGUCUCCAUCUUCUCCUUCUCUAGUUCUUUUUCUCCGUUCAGUCUAUAUCUUCUCCAGUUUUUCUUCGUCUUCGUUUGUCUUCUCCGUUCAGUUCGAAUUUCGUUAUUCGUCUUCUCCAUUUGUCUUCAAGAAGAAAGAGGAAGGUGCAACAUGAUCAACCAUUUCAAAGGCGUGCUAUUAUUACUGAUGUUGCAACUUACAAGCCUAGAGAGUUGUUCAAAUAAUUGUUCAAAGGGGCUGCACAGGUAAUUGUCCAAAUGGAAUAUUUUUUAUUUAUU